GCCUACGGGGGGCAGCAGUGGGGAAUAUUGGGCAAUGGGCGCAAGCCUGACCCAGCAACGCCGCGUGAAGGAAGAAGGCUUUCGGGUUGUAAACUUCUUUUGACAGGGAAGAGUAGAAGACGGUACCUGUCGAAUAAGCCACGGCUAACUACGUGCCAGCAGCCGCGGUAAUACGUAGGGAGCAAGCGUUGUCCGGAAUUACUGGGCGUAAAGGGCGCGUAGGUGGGCGCUUAAGUCAGGUGUGAAAACUCCGGGCUCAACCUGGAGACUGCACUUGAAACUGGGUGUCUUGAGGGCAGGAGAGG
rnacentral:rRNA from 1 species